CGUAGGGUGAACCUGCGGAGGGAUCAUUACCGAGUUUACAACUCCCAAACCCCUGUGAACAUACCUAUACGUUGCCUCGGCGGAUCAGCCCGCGCCCCGUAAAACGGGACGGCCCGCCCGAGGACCCUUAAACUCUGUUUUUAGUGGAACUUCUGAGUAAAACAAACAAAUAAAUCAAAACUUUCAACAACGGAUCUCUUGGUUCUGGCAUCGAUGAAGAACGCAGCAAAAUGCGAUAAGUAAUGUGAAUUGCAGAAUUCAGUGAAUCAUCGAAUCUUUGAACGCACAUUGCGCCCGCCAGUAUUCUGGCGGGCAUGCCUGUUCGAGCGUCAUUUCAACCCUCAAGCUCAGCUUGGUGUUGGGACUCGCGGUAACCCGCGUUCCCCAAAUCGAUUGGCGGUCACGUCGAGCUUCCAUAGCGUAGUAAUCAUACACCUCGUUACUGGUAAUCGUCGCGGCCACGCCGUAAAACCCCAACUUCUGAAUGUUGACCUCGGAUCAGGUAGGAAUACCCGCUGAACUUAAGCAUAUCAAUAAGCGGAGGAAUUC
rnacentral:rRNA from 1 species